GCCAGAUCUCGUCGAGGCUGUUUGUUGUCGCCUUGAUUGCGUGCUUGCCGCUCCUGAUCUGCGCUUCUGAGCUGUUCUUUGAAUCGUUCGAUGAAUCGUUCGAGGGGCGGUGGACUGUCUCCAACAAAGAAGAGUAUGCAGGUGUAUGGAAGCAUUCUAAGAGUGAAGGCCAUGAUGACUAUGGCCUUCUUGUCAGUGAGAAGGCCAGGAAGUAUGGUAUAGUCAAAGAACUAGACCAACCUGCUAAUCUCAAGGAUGGAACUAUUGUUCUCCAGUUUGAAACCCGUCUCCAGGAAGGGCUGGAAUGUGGUGGAGCAUAUCUGAAGUACCUACGACCACAGGAGGCAGGUUGGACUCCCAAGGAGUUCAAUAACGAGUCUCCCUAUUCCAUCAUGUUUGGACCCGACAAGUGUGGAACCACGAAUAAGGUCCAUUUCAUUCUGAAGCAUAAGAAUCCCAAGACUGGAGAGUUUAUUGAACACCAUCUCAAGUAUCCGCCAUCUGUCCCCUCAGACAAGCUCUCUCAUGUCUACACUGCAAUACUGAAACCAGAUAAUGAGUUGCGUAUUUUAAUUGAUGGGGAAGAGAAAAAGAAAGUGAACUUCUUGGCCUCUGAUGAUUUUGACCCGGCCCUUAUCCCUUCCAAGACUAUUCCUGAUCCUGAUGAUAAGAAGCCCGAGGACUGGGAUGAGAGGGCAAAAAUUCCGGACCCUGUUGCGGUGAAACCUGAUGACUGGGAUGAAGAAGCUCCCAUGGAAAUCGAAGACACAGAGGCUGUUAAGCCUGAAGGAUGGUUGGAUGAUGAGCCAGAGGAAAUUGAUGAUCCGGAGGCUAACAAGCCUGAAGACUGGGAUGAUGAGGAGGAUGGAGAAUGGGAAGCACCA
rnacentral:misc_RNA from 1 species